rnacentral:rRNA from 1 species
ACUCCUACGGGAGGCAGCAGUGGGGAAUAUUGCACAAUGGGCGCAAGCCUGAUGCAGCCAUGCCGCGUGUGUGAAGAAGGCCUCGGUUGUAAAGCACUUUCAGUCGUGAGGAAGGUAGUGUAGUUAAUAGCUGCAUUAUUUGUACGUUAGCGACAGAAGAAGCACCGGCUAACUCCGUGCCAGCAGCCGCGGUAAUACGGAGGGGUGCGAGCGUUAAUCGGAAUUACUGGGCGUAAAGCGCAUGCAGGUGGUUUGUUAAGUUCAGAUGUGAAAGCCCGGGGCGUCAACCUCGGAAUAGCAUUUGAAACUGGCAGACUAGAGUACUGUAGAGGGGGUAGGAAUUUACUAGGUGUAGCGGUGAAAUGCGUAGAGAUCUGAAGGAAUACCGGUGGCGAAGGCGGCCCCCUGGACAGAUACUGACACUCAGAUGCGAAAGCGUGGGGAGCAAACAGGAUUAGAUACCCUGGUAGGAUAGCG